UACGAAGGGGGCUAGCGUUGUUCGGAAUUACUGGGCGUAAAGCGCACGUAGGCGGAUAUUUAAGUCAGGGGUGAAAUCCCAGAGCUCAACUCUGGAACUGCCUUUGAUACUGGGGUAUCUUGAGUAUGGAAGAGGUAAGUGGAAUUGCGAGUGUAGAGGUGAAAUUCGUAGAUAUUCGCAGGAACACCAGUGGCGAAGGCGGCUUACUGGUCCAUUACUGACGCUGAGGUGCGAAAG
rnacentral:rRNA from 1 species